rfam:Pan troglodytes isolate Yerkes chimp pedigree #C0471 (Clint) chromosome 3, whole genome shotgun sequence.
AUACUUACCUAGGAGGUGAAAUACCAUCAUCACAAAGCCCAGGGUGAGGCUUAUUCAUUGCACUCUGGAUGUGCUGAUCCCUGCAAUUUCCCCAAAUGUGGAGAACUCAACUGCAUAAUCUUUGGCAGUGGGAAACUCUGUUCACACUCUCUUCUG